CUUCCUCUUCUCAACCACCGAUAGCUGACGACUAGCAAACACGUCGGCACGGCUGCACGGUACCUGACGACCACACCCCUGUCACACGACGCCACACGGGGAUAUACACGAGUACGUACCUGUUCCACAUUGCCAUGGCGAUAGGUGAGGAUCCUGGUAAUGUUCUUGAACUCUGCAUAGCGACUGACGUUUGAUUUGAUGAGCAGAUCAACCAAUGAGCCUCGCGCAUACAUCAACUAAAGAAAUGAAACAUGACACAUUCAAGCUAGUUGGAUGAUGAAAUAACCUGCAUGGUUACCUUGGAGACCAGGUCGAUGUUGAACCUUCGUCCUUCUUUCACCAGCUGAGCGAAGGUGAUCUUCCUGUUUGGCUCCGAUUGGCUGGCAACAUCCUGGGGGCGUGGCAGAUCUGACUCCUUUUCUGUGUGGACAGCCUAUGAUUGGAUGAAACAUGUCUGUCAUGUGAUCCAAAAAGGGCUGACACACACACACAUACACACACACACACACAGUGCAUGUGUGUGUUUGUUGCACUCACCUCCUCUUCUUCUGUUUGCUGCUGUUUCUCCUUUGGCUCUGACUCUACACAUGAUUCUUCUUCUAUGCUCUUCUCUUCAUCAUCAUCUUCUUGGUCCUCACUGGGGAAAAAUGUGUCAUGUUGGUAACAGUCUUCCAUCAUUGAGACACAUCUAAAUAAAAUGUCACCUUGUAAAACAGAACACUUGCAGGUUCGAGACAGAGGCAGAGUCUGUGUUUGACACAUAGAUUGGCUCCUCCCCUUCUGCCAAGAGACCAGACCAAUCCUGGACCUCAUCACCCUGAGACUGCUCCUGACCGCAUGCAGGCACAGCAGAGUGUGUGCACAUCGGGAGGACAGGGGACGGUCCACUCACGUGUCCAGGUGAAGAACUCUUUGUCCCACUCGAGAACAGGCUGCUGCCACCACUGACUCAGUGAGACCUGUCAAUCAUUAAUCAUCAAAGCAGGUGAAGGAGCACACACCCACCUACUAGUGUAAACAACUAAAUAGAAAAUAGGUUUUUAUAACAACAUGAAGCAUAUAGACACUGAAAACAAUUACAUCAUCGCAAUUAUCAGAAUGAGGAUUUAGUCGUUUUAGUGUUAGCAUAGUGACAAAAUGCUGGAACGGAAGCUCCAAGCAUUAGCUAGAUGUUUGUUAGCCACCAUCCUUUCAAACGAACUAGAUGUUAGCCACAAGCUAACCGUAGUGCGUUUCGGUCAGCGAGGAGAUAUUUGCAGACAAAAAUGCCUGUUUUGUAUGAGACAAUGUUAAGCACUUUAGAUUAAACACACAGCAUCCGAACAAAGCAUAUUUGGCGAGUUUACCUGUUCCCAGAAUGACGACGUCAAACUCAGACGGAAGAUCCUCGGCUGCCAUCUUGGUUCAGGCGCGUGACCCACACCGAGUGCUCGUCGCGGGGCGCGCGCGUGCGUCUACACGUACAGAGGUGAAGUUAUUAGACCUCUUCAGGAUCAUCAGCAUAACCUUCUACAGCAUCAUCAGUGUGAACAUUCUACAUCAUCAUCAUCAGUAUAAACCUUCUACAGCCUAGGUUCCCAAAGUGGGGUGCGCGUAUCCCCUGGAGUACACCAGUUGUCAUAGGGAACAAAAAUGGAAAACAAUUACGUGUGCCAGAGUGUGCCCAAGGAGAACGGAGCAGAAAGAGAGCACGAAGUUGUUCAUUGCUCU